UAAUACAGAGGGUGCAAGCGUUGUUCGGAAUUACUGGGCGUAAAGCGAGUGUAGGCGGCCUAUUAAGUCAGAUGUGAAAUCCCUUGGCUCAACCGAGGAACUGCAUCUGAUACUGGUAGGCUUGAGUGUCGGAGGGGAUGGUAGAAUUCCUGGUGUAGAGGUGAAAUUCGUAGAUAUCAGGAGGAAUACCUGUGGCGAAGGCGACCAUCUGGAAGACAACUGACGCUGAGACUCGAAAGCGUGGGUAGCAAACAGGAUUAGAUACCCUGGUAGUCCACGCUGUAAACGAUGAGUGCUAGAUGUUGUGGGUAUUGACCCCCGCAGUGUCAAAGCUAACGCGUUAAGCACUCCGCCUGGGGAGUACGGUCGCAAGAUUA
rnacentral:rRNA from 1 species